CUUGGGCUGCUUCCACAUUCUGGCUGUGCUGCUGAACGCUGCCAUGUAUAUGAGUAUACAAAUACCUGAACCUGCUUUUUAUUUAUUUAUUCUUUUUAAAAAUAUAUUUCAGACAGAGAGAGAGCAGAGGUGUGGAGGGAUAGAGGGAGAGACAGUCUCAAGCAGACUCCAUGCUGGGCAUGUCAUCUGAAAUGGGGCUCUAUCCCAUGACUCCGAGAUCACAACCUGAGAUGAAAUUGAGAAUCAAACACUCAACCAGUUGUGUCACUCGUGCACCCCCGAACCUGCUUUUUAGAUGGACAGCCCAGACUUCAUUUAAGAUGCUGAAAUAAACUCUAAUUGAAUGCACCAUCUGGAAACAUUGAACUACAUGGAGAAAGCAGUGGGAUCAAUUCACAUCAUCCUCCACACCCCCACUGGAUGCUCCGCUCUGAGGAAUCUGAAAGACCUAAGGCCUCCUCGCUCAAAGCACAGUAAGGACUUAGCCUUGGAGCCAGAAGCAAUGUUCAGAACCUUGGAGACCUAG
rnacentral:lncRNA from 1 species